rnacentral:rRNA from 1 species
CCUACGGGCGGCAGCAGUGAGGAAUAUUGGUCAAUGGGCGGGAGCCUGAACCAGCCAAGUCGCGUGAGGGAAGACGGUCCUAUGGAUUGUAAACCUCUUUAGGCGGGGAGCAAUGCCGGGCACGCGUGCCCGGAGGGAGAGUACCCGCAGAAUAAGCAUCGGCUAACUCCGUGCCCGCAGGCGCGGUAAUACGGGGGAUGCGAGCGUUAUGCGGAUUUAGGGGGUUUAGAGUGUGCGUAGGCGGAGUUUUAUGUCAGCGGUAAAAUGUCCGGGCUCAAGGCGGGAUGGCCGUUGAAACUGGGGAUCUGGAGUGCGGGAGAGGUAGGCGGAAUGCGUGGUGUAGCGGUGAAAUGCAUAGAUAUCACGCAGAACACCGAUUGCGAAGGCAGCAUACCGGCGCCCGACUGACGCUGAGGCACGAAAGCGUGGGGAUCGAACAGGAUUAGAUACCCUAGUAGUC